UGUGUGUGUGUGUGUGUGUGUGUGUGUGUGUGUCCAUGCGCACGCACACAUGCACGUGCACACACA
rnacentral:miRNA from 1 species